rnacentral:rRNA from 1 species
UCAGGAUGAACGCUAGCGGGAGGCCUAAUACAUGCAAGUCGAACGCUCUGAUUUCGGUCAGGGAGUGGCGCACGGGUGAGUAACACGUACGCAAUCUGCCUUGUGCAGGAGGAUAGCCCUGGGAAACUGGGCGUAAUACUCCAUGGUAUUGUCCAAUUGCAUGAUUGGAUAAUUAAAGCUACGGCGGCACGAGAUGAGCGUGCGUCUGAUUAGGUAGUUGGUGAGGUAACGGCUCACCAAGCCGACGAUCAGUAAGGGGCGUGAGAGCGUGGCCCCUCACACGGGUACUGAGACACGGACCCGACUCCUACGGGAGGCAGCAGUAAGGAAUAUUGGACAAUGGGCGGAAGCCUGAUCCAGCCAUCCCGCGUGCAGGAUGACGGCCCUAUGGGUUGUAAACUGCUUUAGACUGGAAAGAAAGUUGCGGAUUUAUCUGUAAUUGACGGUACCAGUAGAAUAAGCACCGGCUAACUCCGUGCCAGCAGCCGCGGUAAUACGGAGGGUGUAAGCGUUAUCCGGAAUUACUGGGUUUAAAGGGUGCGUAGGCUGCUAUGUAAGUCAGAGGUGAAAGCCCGCCGCUUAACGGUGGAAUUGCCUUUGAUACUGCAUAGCUUGAAACAGGUUGAGGUUGGCGGAAUGUGACAUGUAGCGGUGAAAUGCAUAGAUAUGUCAUAGAACACCAAUUGCGAAGGCAGCUGACUGGACCUGGUUUGACGCUGAGGCACGAAAGCGUGGGGAGCGAACAGGAUUAGAUACCCUGGUAGUCCACGCCCUAAACGAUGCUUACUCGAUAUUCGUCCUUCGGGGUGAGUGUCCAAGCGAAAGCGAUAAGUAAGCCACCUGGGGAGUA